rnacentral:rRNA from 1 species
CCUACGGGUGGCAGCAGUGGGGAAUAUUGGACAAUGGGCGAAAGCCUGAUCCAGCCAUGCCGCGUGUGUGAAGAAGGCCUUCGGGUUGUAAAGCACUUUCAGUGGGGAAGAAAGCCUUGGGGCUAAUACCCUCGAGGAAGGACAUCACCCACAGAAGAAGCACCGGCUAACUCCGUGCCAGCAGCCGCGGUAAUACGGAGGGUGCGAGCGUUAAUCGGAAUUACUGGGCGUAAAGCGCGCGUAGGCGGUCUGAUAAGCCGGUUGUGAAAGCCCCGGGCUCAACCUGGGAACGGCAUCCGGAACUGUCAGGCUAGAGUGCAGGAGAGGAAGGUAGAAUUCCCGGUGUAGCGGUGAAAUGCGUAGAGAUCGGGAGGAAUACCAGUGGCGAUGGCGGCCUUCUGGACUGACACUGACGCUGAGGUGCGAAAGCGUGGGUAGCAAACAGGAUUAGAUACCCUGGUAGUC